UACGAAGGGGGCUAGCGUUGCCCGGAUUUACUGGGUGUAAAGGGCGCGUAGGCGGAUUAGCAAGUCAGAGGUGAAAUCCUACAGCUUAACUGUAGAACUGCCCUUGAAACUGUUAGUCUUGAGUGCGGAAGAGAGAAGCGGAAUUCCAGGUGUAGUGGUGAAAUACGUAGAUAUCUGGAAGAACACCAGUUGCGAAGGCGGCUUCUUGGUCCGUCACUGACGCUGAGGCGCGAAAGCGUGGGGAGCAAACAGG
rnacentral:rRNA from 1 species